GUGGUCAUCGAAUCUUUGAACGCACAUUGCGCCCUUUGGUAUUCCGAAGGGCAUGCCUGUUCGAGCGUCAUUAUCACCCCUCAAGCCCUCGGCUUGGUGUUGGACGGUUUGGUGGAGACCCCCCUCGGGUGGGCUUCUACCCCUCCCAAAGACAAUGACGGCGGCCUCGUUGGACCCCCGGUACACUGAGUUCUUCACGGGACACGUAUCGGACACAUGGGUUUACGGGACACGGUCUGCCUCCCCUCAGGGAGAAUCUUUUUUUAUCAAGGUUGACCUCGGAUCAGGUAGGGAUACCCG
rnacentral:misc_RNA from 1 species